GGGACACGUGGUAUCCUGUCUGAAUAUGGGGGGACCAUCCUCCAAGGCUAAAUACUCCUGACUGACCGAUAGUGAACCAGUACCGUGAGGGAAAGGCGAAAAGAACCCCGGCGAGGGGAGUGAAAAAGAACCUGAAACCGUGUACGUACAAGCAGUGGGAGCCUCUUAAUGGGGUGACUGCGUACCUUUUGUAUAAUGGGUCAGCGACUUAUAUUCUGUAGCAAGGUUAACCGAAUAGGGGAGCCGAAGGGAAACCGAGUCUUAACUGGGCGUUAAGUUGCAGGGUAUAGACCCGAAACCCGGUGAUCUAGCCAUGGGCAGGUUGAAGGUUGGGUAACACUAACUGGAGGACCGAACCGACUAAUGUUGAAAAAUUAGCGGAUGACUUGUGGCUGGGGGUGAAAGGCCAAUCAAACCGGGAGAUAGCUGGUUCUCCCCGAAAGCUAUUUAGGUAGCGCCUCGUGAAUUCAUCUCCGGGGGUAGAGCACUGUUUCGGCAAGGGGGUCAUCCCGACUUACCAACCCGAUGCAAACUGCGAAUACCGGAGAAUGUUAUCACGGGAGACACACGGCGGGUGCUAACGUCCGUCGUGAAGAGGGAAACAACCCAGACCGCCAGCUAAGGUCCCAAAGUCAUGGUUAAGUGGGAAACGAUGUGGGAAGGCCCAGACAGCCAGGAUGUUGGCUUAGAAGCAGCCAUCAUUUAAAGAAAGCGUAAUAGCUCACUGGUCGAGUCGGCCUGCGCGGAAGAUGUAACGGGGCUAAACCAUGCACCGAAGCUGCGGCAGCGACACUAUGUGUUGUUGGGUAGGGGAGCGUUCUGUAAGCCUGUGAAGGUGGCCUGUGAGGGUUGCUGGAGGUAUCAGAAGUGCGAAUGCUGACAUAAGUAACGAUAAAGCGGGUGAAAAGCCCGCUCGCCGGAAGACCAAGGGUUCCUGUCCAACGUUAAUCGGGGCAGGGUGAGUCGACCCCUAAGGCGAGGCCGAAAGGCGUAGUCGAUGGGAAACAGGUUAAUAUUCCUGUACUUGGUGUUACUGCGAAGGGGGGACGGAGAAGGCUAUGUUGGCCGGGCGACGGUUGUCCCGGUUUAAGCGUGUAGGCUGGUUUUCCAGGCAAAUCCGGAAAACCAAGGCUGAGGCGUGAUGACGAGGCACUACGGUGCUGAAGCGACAAAUGCCCUGCUUCCAGGAAAAGCCUCUAAGCAUCAGGUAACAUCAAAUCGUACCCCAAACCGACACAGGUGGUCAGGUAGAGAAUACCAAGGCGCUUGAGAGAACUCGGGUGAAGGAACUAGGCAAAAUGGUGCCGUAACUUCGGGAGAAGGCACGCUGAUAUGUAGGUGAAGCGACUUGCUCGUGGAGCUGAAAUCAGUCGAAGAUACCAGCUGGCUGCAACUGUUUAUUAAAAACACAGCACUGUGCAAACACGAAAGUGGACGUAUACGGUGUGACGCCUGCCCGGUGCCGGAAG
rnacentral:rRNA from 2 species